UUUAAGGUUACAAAGGACUGUCAGUUUUUCCUGACAAGUGACUCCGUGCAGAACGGAAGAUGUUUUUGGAGUGUGGCUUUUUUGUUUUUUCUUCCCUCACUGGAGCAGAAGGGUUAUGAACAAAAACACUGGAGAAAUUGGAAAAUUGCAGACAAGACUUUUUGUUUUUUAAGUGAAUGAUAAGUUUGGUAGAUGAUUGAAUGUCAUUGCAGACCCAUACUUGCAUUGCAGAACUACUGGAUAUUUUUGAAUCAGUAGUCAGUGUGACUAUGAAGACCUCUUCUUCUGCUCUAACUCUGAAUUGAACGUAUGAAAAUGAAGGAACCAAUGAAAGGAGUGCCACAGGCCACUGGAAAUGUUUGGAUGAAGAAACCUUUAUAGUCUUUACACAAGGGGGACAAAUCAAAUCGAAGGAGCACUCAGCACAUUGGCAUGUGGCCCAGGGCUGGGGGGUGACCAGUGAAGAAGAGGAUUUUAACCCUCAAAAACUAAUGAGCCUUCAUGUCCCUCCUGAUUUGGGCCUGAAAUAACUGACUGAAACGGAUGAAUAGGCAUCCAUCACUUCUCCCAGCCAUGUGGCUUAAUUGAAGCAACUGCUCCCUUGACAGUAUAUAUCGACCCCUUGUGAACAUUUGAAAUGUGAGUAUCCGGCUUCAUUUUAUCCUUUCUGCACUGUGCUGGAGCUCCUCUCAGAACUAUGGGAACACUAAAGGCCAGGCCUUUGGACUGUUUGUGCCCAACGGGUGCAUUUGGGGCCCCUGCGGCCCAGCCUGCCCACUCCUGCUCUGCGACUGUGUGUCUGCUGUGUGAUCCGAUGUGACACUAAGACGUCAUUAUCCUCAUCACUGUGCCAGCCUGCCGCUCUGCACUGGAAAUCAGCUCUGACAGCCAUGACCCUCCAACCUGAUUGGACCAGUGACCCUCUGACCUGCAGCCAUAGAGAUGGUGC